AGCAGUAGGCGGGUUUUGUCAGAGUGGGCGACAAAGCUUAACAACACUUGGGUGUUACGAAUUGAACUUUUUUAAAGGUAUGUCAUGCUGCUGACUGAGAAACAACUAGUGAUCAGCUACAGUUCCAGGAUCUUUUCACAUAUAAUAUUACUAGGUCAAAUAGCUGCCAUUCAGUAUCUGUGCGCUUGAUAUUUUUUUCUAAAAUGUACAAGUUUUUAUCUUCCUGCAGUGUCAGUUCAUUUCCCUCAUCUCUCAAAAGCAUUCUGAAUUUUGUUUUGUCAUCUGUGGCAUUACCUGUUCCCCAAAUUCCAUCAAUAUCUGCAAAUUUGAUACGCAUUUCUUCCAUCUCCUAUUCAGAUCAUUAAUAAAAACACUAAAGAAUACUCCA